CAUAGGCAAGCGCGGCCACAUAGGCUAGACGCACUAUCUUCUCCUCUACCCCGCGCCGCCCUCCACCUCGGAGCGGGGACGUACGGUGGUGGCGGUGACACAAUGCGAGUGAGUGGAGCCUUUGGAAGGAAUUGGGCCAUGAGAAGAGCCCUCAUGAAUGGGAUUAGUUCCCUUAUAAGAAGAGACACCAAGGAAGUGAUCUUUCUCUGCCCUCUGCUAUGUGAAGACAAGGUAAGAAGACAGCUAUGAACCAAGAAGCAGGCCCUUACCAGACACCAAAUCUGCUGGUGCAUUGAUCUUGGACUUCUCAGCCUCCAGGACUGUGAGAAAUAAAUGUUUAUUGUUGAAGCCACCCAGUCUACAGUAAUUUGUUAUAGCAGCUGAAAUUGACUAAGACAAUUUAAAAAAAUUAAUCUCAUUGACUAUCAAUUUGGAUUCUGGAGCAUACCUGGAUUCAGGUCAUCUGCAGUUUUUUGUUGUUGUUGAUGAUCUUCCUGUCAUAGACAAUGCUGUAACAAACAGACUAAUUGUUCACUGUUGACAUAUAGAAGUACUACUGAUUGGCCAGACAUAGUGGCUCAUGCCUGGAAUCCCAGCACUUUGGGAGGCCAAGGCAGGUGGAUCACUUGAGCCCAGAAGUUUGAGACCAGCCUGGGCAACAUGAUGAAACCCCAUCUCUACAAAAUAAAUAGAAAAAUUAGCUGGGUAUGGUGGCAUGUGCCAGUAGUCCCAGCUACAUGGGAGCCUGAGGUGGGAGGACGACUUGAGCCCAGGAGGUGGAGGUUACAGUGAGCUGAGAUCAUGCCACUGCACUCCAGCCUGGGUGACAGAGUGGGACUCUGUCUAAAAAAAAAAUUGUAUUAUCUGUAAACGGAAAUAUAAAUAAUUUAACUUCUUCUUUUCCAAUUUGGAUUCCCUUUAUUUCUUUCACCUGUAUGAUUGCUUUAGCUAGAGCUUCCGGUAAUAUGUUGAAUAACAGUGAUGACCAGUGGGCAUCCUUGCUGUGUUCCAGAUCUUAGAGAAAAGACUUUCAGUUUUUUUCCCCAUUUAGUAUAUGAGCUGUGGACCUGUAAUAUAUGGCUUUUAUUAUGUUGAGGUAUGUUACUUCUAUACCUAGUUUUCUUAGGUUUUGUUUUUUUUUA
rnacentral:lncRNA from 1 species